rnacentral:sRNA from 1 species
CACAGCCAGAGCUUAACGCAGUCUCCACUGCUUAGGAACUUGCCUCAUCUGAGCGAGCCCGCCGACACGCCGAGCAGGAGAGAGAUGAACUGGCGGACGAGAUUGCCAACAGCGCCUCUGGCAAGUCCGCGCUGCUGGAUGAGAAGCGGCGUCUGGAAGCUCGGAUCGCACAGCUGGAGGAGGAGCUGGAAGAGGAGCAGAGCAACAUGGAGCUGCUCAACGACCGCUUCCGCAAGACCACUCUACAGGUGGACACACUGAACGCCGAGCUAGCAGCCGAGCGCAGCGCUGCCCAGAAGAGUGACAACGCGCGCCAGCAACUGGAGCGGCAGAACAAGGAGCUGAAGGCCAAGCUGCAGGAGCUCGAGGGUGCUGUCAAGUCCAAGUUCAAGGCCACCAUCUCAGCCCUGGAGGCCAAGAUUGGGCAGCUGGAGGAGCAGCUUGAGCAGGAAGCCAAGGAACGAGCAGCCGCCAACAAAUUAGUCCGUCGCACUGAGAAGAAGCUGAAAGAAAUCUUCAUGCAGGUCGAGGAUGAGCGUCGACACGCGGAUCAGUAUAAAGAGCAGGUACGCGAGGAAAUGCCUCCCUGGGA